rnacentral:tRNA from 1 species
UGGCUCAGAGGGUAAGAGCACUGGCUGCUCUUCCAGAGGUUCUGAGUUCAAUUCUCAG